rnacentral:rRNA from 1 species
UACGUAGGGUGCGAGCGUUAAUCGGAAUUACUGGGCGUAAAGUGUGCGCAGGCGGCAGAGCAAGUCGAGUGUGAAAGCCCCGGGCUUAACUUGGGAAUUGCGCUCGAAACUACUUUGCUGGAGUGUGGCAGAGGAAGGUGGAAUUCCACGUGUAGCGGUGAAAUGCGUAGAGAUGUGGAGGAACACCAAUGGCGAAGGCAGCCUUCUGGGCCAACACUGACGCUCAUGCAUGAAAGCGUGGGGAGCAAACAGG